UACGUAGGGUGCGAGCGUUGCCCGGAUUUAUUGGGCGUAAAGGGCGCGUAGGCGGCUCUGCACGUCCGUUGUGAAAUCGCCCGGCUCAACUGGGCGGGGUCAGCGGAUACGGCGCGGCUGGAGCAAGCUAGGGGGCAAUGGAACUCCCGGUGUAGUGGUGGAAUGCGUAGAUAUCGGGAAGCACACCAGUGGCGAAGGCGGUUGCCUGGAGCUUUGCUGACGCUGAGGCGCGAAAGCGUGGGGAGCGAUCCGG
rnacentral:rRNA from 1 species